AACAAACGCUGGCGGCGCGUUUUAAGCAUGCAAGUCGGACGGCAAGAGCUGUAGCAAUAUGGCUCCUAGAGUGGCGAACGGGUGAGUAACACGUAGGUGAUCUGCCCUUGGAUGGGGGAUAGUCCGUGGAAACACGGGGUAAUACCGCAUGAGGCCUUGUGGGUAGAGCCAUGAGGUGAAAGGUGCAAUUGCACCGUCUGGGGAUGAGCCUGCGGUCCAUUAGGUAGUUGGCGGGGUAAGGGCCCACCAAGCCUACGAUGGAUAGCCGGCCUGAGAGGGUGUACGGCCACACUGGAACUGAGACACGGUCCAGACUCCUACGGGAGGCAGCAGCUAAGAAUCUUCCGCAAUGGGGGAAACCCUGACGGAGCGACGCCGCGUGGACGAUGGAGGCCGUAAGGUUGUAAAGUCCUUUUCCUGGUGAAGAAUGACCGUGGGAGUGGAAAGCCCAUGGGAUGACGUUAGCCAGGGAAUAAGCCCCGGCCAAUUACGUGCCAGCCGCCGCGGUAAUAC
rnacentral:rRNA from 1 species